ACUGACGUUCCCACGGAAUGUGCGGUCCUCAUAUUCAUCGGUCGUAGAGGUUAUUCAAGCUGUCUACCUCGUUCUCGCAUUCUAGUGCAAGCUUGGUUAACCUCUGCGUAAGAUGAAUGUGCGGACAAAAUCUAAAAACAUGAUCUAAACCGCGCUCGUUUUACUUAGCCGACAGCAUAACAGCGUCCCUAGAAGGAGAACAAGACAAGGAGAACCACGCCUUAGCUAUCAAAUUCACGGAACCACACGAAGAAAAUACUUUUCAAUGACAUAUAUACUACAGGCAAUCAAAACAACACAAGAGGACCGCGAUCGCACAUUUUUAUUUGUCUUUCCGUGGGAACUCGAAUGUUUCCAGGAGAAACAGAUUUUUACAUUUUUUUCUUUUAAACUUCAGUUACGGGAGUUCCCUCGCAUAGGCAUAUCUGUGUGGUCAGACGUGCAGACGCCCACAGGGAGGGGAAAGCAAAGCACAAUGCCCCCAUUCCUAAACAAAACACCCACACAGAUCCUCACAAGUUCCCAGGGCAUUUGAGAGCAAAUCUGGAAGAAAUGAUGCUUCUAUCCACUGACAUUGAGCACAUUCUGUUCCAGGCCAAGGCUCAUUUCCAGUUUGGAUAGGAAGUUGAAAAAAGCCACAUGGUUUGGCCAACUUCCAAAACCUUGAAUGUGUUUUGAAGAAAAUCAGAUUCCAAGUCCAACAGAGCAAGUUGGGGUCAAACUGGACACAGGAUUGAGGACACAGACCUACUUUUUGUCGAUGCAACAGUUUGGCCACAGCUAGCCAUUUUGUACGAACUUAUCCAUAAUUAUUUUACUAAUUAAUUACUUAACUGCAGUGUCCAACGAAUCAAACAAAAUAAAGUCAAAUCAGACAAGUGGCCGAGGACAAGUCUGAAAGAAACUAGUUUCAAUCCAAUAUGGUGGAAGUCCAGUCGGGCCAACAUCAGGCAAGUAUCGCAGAAUCCAAAUUCAGCACUCCAGCUCAGUGUCAUGACAAGUGUGCAAGGCUGCAGGGCUCUGAAGCUACACAAUGUGCUAAUGAGACCGGACUUCAGACCUCACUCUCAGCCAUGGAUAUCACCACUUAGAAAUUUAACGUAAACAAUGAAUUAAUCAGUGUCUGCAAGUAAAUAUGCGUUUAGGUUAUAUGAAUUAUGUAUUACUUGCAUUGGAAAAGCUUCUUUGGUUGUUUUUCCACCAUGAUUUUAUUAUUUUCUUGAUUUUAAUUUGUUGGUGUAUAUAUAUAUAUAUAUAUAUAUAUAUAUAUAUUUUUUUUUUUUUUUUGCCAUUUCUUCUUUGACGUCUUUUAUACAAUCACGUCCUUAUUGCUAUGCAUUUUGGGUAAUCCCACUGGUUGGCCAGCCCUAGCCACUCUGGACUUGGAACUGGAACGUUCAGUCCACCAGUCUGCAGUCCCUUUGGGAACAACAGACACAUCAUAUGGCUACAGUUUGAUUGCUUUUUGUCAAAAGGUCAAAAGGUUUGAGAUAUGCACAGCCGAAGAUCACAGUGUUUGUUCAAUCACUGCAUUGCCCCCAAAGGGCAAUCUGACAAAAAGUCAGAGUUUUCAGAAAAUUCUAAAUAGUGGCAAAUCCACCAUGGCGGAAGUUAUGGGUCCAUCAGGCAAAUCUGUUCUUCAGCCCCAGCUGCAUCUUCUGAUAGCAGUUUCAUGACCACAUCACAUGGUGUGAAAAAACCAGCCCUUUGAAAAUUGCAGAUUUGCCCUGGUGGUGGCAUUUGAUGCAUGUUCCGGUCAACCUGAAAUUGGGGGAAAGGGAUAAUGGCUUGGCCCUCUAUCAGUAAGCCAAGUUUCAAAAAGUGCAGUUUUUCCACUUCAUUUGUUGGAGGUGUAUGGAAGUGAAGAAUGAAGAGUUAAUGGUUGUCACAUAGUUUUUGUUUUGAUCCUGAAAUAAGUGCAACAAAUGUUGGUGUUAGAGUAUAAAACAAAAAUAAUGUAUGGAAUGUUUUAAAACUGCAGAAGGGGAUAAUAAAUGGGAGUAGUAUUAAAAGAAAAUGACAAGAUGAAGCAAAUCGUGUUUAUGAAAGUGCUUUAUGAGUGGCAAAUAACGUCGUGCGAGUGCACACGAGGGGAAGUCAAAUUCUGCCAGGCAAUCAGAUUUAGGCCCAACAACCCUAAUACGACCGUCUACAUGUACUUGAUAGUACAGUUAAAUUAGCUCCAGUCAAUAGAGUUUACUGGGAGUAUGAUCUUAAAUCGCAUAUUUUCAUUAUUCACUUGCGUGUAAACGCAGCUGUAUCACGACUGGUCCAUGCAUAAAAAGCCAGACUGGUCGUCUCAAGCGUAUUGAGCUACCGCGAGCAAGAAACAUGCGCAAAUUGAUAACUUUGGUUUCAAUGCAGGUCAGCAGCCAUUUCUGC